UACGUAGGGGGCAAGCGUUGUCCGGAAUCAUUGGGCGUAAAGAGCGUGUAGGCGGUUCGGUAAGUCUGUCGUGAAAUCCUGAGGCUCAACCUCGGGCGUGCGAUGGAUACUGCCGGGCUAGAGGAUGGUAGAGGCGAGUGGAAUUCCCGGUGUAGCGGUGAAAUGCGCAGAUAUCGUGAGGAAGACCAGUGGCGAAGGCGGGUCUCUGGACAGUUCCUGACGCUGAGGCGCGAAGGCCAGGGGAGCAAACGGG
rnacentral:rRNA from 1 species